AUGGCGUUGUCCAUCGAAAUGGUAGAGUCCAACGGCAGCCCCACGGCGGUGCCCAGCUCGUCGGCCGGCAGCAGCAGCAGCAUACACGAGCCGUCGUGGGAGUACUAUCUGCGGAAGUAUCUCAUGCUGCUGGCCGGGCUGGUAGCUGCAGCGACCUACGAGGCGAGUUUCAGCACGCCCGGAGUGUCGCCGCCGGAGGAGAGCGAAAGCGGGCGCAUGGUCCUCAGGCUCACGCCUCAGUACAUCACAUUCGUCUACUUCAACGCUACCGCCUUCACGGCGUCGAUUGGGGUCAUCCUCCUCCUCCUCCUCCUCAACGAGAAGAGACCCGUCUGGCUGGCCGUGCUCCGGUUUGUCAUGGUGCUGGACCUUCUCGCCCUCAUGGGGGCCUAUGCCAGCGGAAGCUGCUUCGACGUGCCGUCCACGGUGUACACCUGGGUGCUGGUGGUCGCUCUCGCCGCCUACGUCGGCGUUCACAUCCUACUAGCUUCCUACACGCCGUCGGAAUCGGAAGUGGAGAGCCCCGAUGAGUCUCUCAAGCUCAGAGAGCAACGCAAGGUACUCAUGCUGCUCGCGACAUUCGCGGUGGGAAUCUCGUACACCGCUGGCCUGAGCCCGCCCGGCGGCGACGAGGAAGGGCACGGCCACCUGAAGGCCUUCUUCUACUGCAACACCACGGCGUUCGUGGCGUCGCUGCUCAUCAUCGUGCUGCUCCUGGUCCGGAGGCUGCAGAGCCGGUGCUGCGCCAUGGUGCAGCUGUGCGGGCUCAUCCUGGUCGUGCUGCUCGGCCUCCUGGGGGCCUACGUCGCCGGGAGCUGCGGGAAUGCGGGCUCCUCUGCCUACGUCAUCGCGCUGAUCGACCUGGUUCUCGUCUACAUCUUCCUAGUGAUGAUGGUGUUGGUGGUUGUCUCGAAUCCUCUCAAGAACACCAGCUGGCUACCACAUCAAUUUGUGUGUGCCUACUCUUCAUGCUCAAGUUGGCUGCAAAAAAGAGGGUUUGGAGAAGGACAACUGCAAGCAGAUAUACCAACAUCAGAUGGCGGUAGGCAACAACAAGGCAGCAACAUGGUCAUGGUAAUGGAUGAGGAGAAUGCAGAACCUGCAGGCAUGGAGAAGGUGAAGUCUCUCCUUCUGCUGCUUGCGACUCUCGUGGCAACCAUCACCUACCACGCGGGGCUGGACCCGCCGGGUGGCGUCUGGUCGCGGGACGGCCAGCGCCAGCAGAACAGCUACAAGGCCGGCGACCCGAUACUGUCAGUGAUGAACCCUAGCCGGUACAUGGUGUUCUUCUACUGCAAUUCGACCGCGUUCGUGGCGUCCUUGGUUGUCAUCCUCAUGGUCCGUGCGAGGGGCCUGAUCCGACGGCACACGCUCGAGGUGGCCAUGCUACUGUGCUUGCUUGGCCUCAUCGGCGCGUACGCGGCCGGGAGCUGCCGGGACGUGAUCACCACCGUCAAGCUCAUAGCCUUGCCAGCAGCUACGUUGGCGUACGUGGUAAUUCACGUCGUCUUCUUCACGUUGGACCACAAGGAAAUGAGCUACGAGGACAACAGGAAGCUGGAGAAGAGGCGCAAGCGCCUCCUGCUUCUCGCCAUUCUGGUGGCCACCAUCACUUACCAGGCUGGACUGACACCGACGGGGGGCUUCUGGACGGAGGGGCACCGUGCGGGAGACCCCAUCAUGGCCGACACUUACGGGAUGAGGUACCAAGCGUUCUUCUACUGCAACUCGACGAGCUUCAUGGUGUCCAUCACGCUCAUCAUCCUGCUCGUGAACCCGAACCUAUACAAGCCGGGCAUACGGUGCUACGCGCUGUACGUGUGCAUGGUGAUCGCCCUGUUCGGCCUGAUGGGUGCCUACCUCAGCGGGACCAUCCCCGAUCCACAGACGUCCAUGUACGUCUUCGUCCUGGUCGCCGUCGUAAUCACGCUGAUUGCCAUCACGGCCAUGGCGCUGCUGGUCCUGCUCAUAUUCGGCGAAGCCAAUGGAGGAGAAGACAGCAACCCAUCACGGCCAAGUCCGGCCGGCGACAGGGCAAUGAGGCGGCGACACAAGAGUGGGAAUAGUGCCAGGCGAAAGUACAUGAUGGUGCUCGCGAUCCUGGCCGCGAGCGUCACCUACCAGGCCGCCAUGAAGCCGCCGGGCGGCGACAAUGCGGGAAACUCCGUGAUGCGGCUCAACAACCCGGCCCGGUACAGCGCCUUCUUCUACUGCAACUCGACCUCGUUCGUGGCGUCGGUCGUCGUCAUCGUCCUGCUGCUGCAGGAGUCUCUGCAGAACAACGUCUUGCUGCUCUAUGCCAUGAACACGGCGAUCGUGCUCGACUUGUUCGGCCUCCUCACGGCGUACGCGGUCGGCAGCAGCCGGGAGUGGAAGGCGACGGGGUACGUCAUCGCGCUGUUCGCCGCCGUGCUCGCCUACAUCGGCAUCCACCUCGUGCUUUGGUUCCUGGGCAGGAGAGCCCGGGACAAAGUAAAUAAUAAUACUCCUGCGUGUGAACCGGAGGCUCAGAUAGAGAGCUCAACCAAUUGUUAA
rnacentral:rRNA from 1 species